rnacentral:rRNA from 1 species
UACGGAGGGAGCUAGCGUUGUUCGGAAUUACUGGGCGUAAAGCGCGCGUAGGCGGCUUUGUAAGUUAGAGGUGAAAGCCCGGGGCUCAACCCCGGAACCGCCUUUAAAACUGCAUCGCUUGAAUCCGGGAGAGGUGAGUGGAAUUCCGAGUGUAGAGGUGAAAUUCGUAGAUAUUCGGAAGAACACCAGUGGCGAAGGCGGCUCACUGGACCGGCAUUGACGCUGAGGUGCGAAAGCGUGGGGAGCAAACAGG